rnacentral:rRNA from 1 species
UACAGAGGUCUCAAGCGUUGUUCGGAUUCAUUGGGCGUAAAGGGUGCGUAGGCGGCGCGGUAAGUCGGGUGUGAAAUCUCGGAGCUUAACUCCGAAACUGCAUUCGAUACUGCCGUGCUUGAGGACUGGAGAGGAGACUGGAAUUCAUGGUGUAGCAGUGAAAUGCGUAGAGAUCAUGAGGAAGACCAGUUGCGAAGGCGGGUCUCUGGACAGUACCUGACACUGAGGCACGAAGGCCAGGGGAGCAAACGGG